rnacentral:rRNA from 1 species
UUUAAUUCGAAGCAACGCGAAGAACCUUACCAGGUCUUGACAUCCCGACGACCGCUCUAGAGAUAGAGUUUUUCUUCGGAACGUCGGUGACAGGUGGUGCAUGGUUGUCGUCAGCUCGUGUCGUGAGAUGUUGGGUUAAGUCCCGCAACGAGCGCAACCCCUAUAACUAGUUGCCAGCAUUAAGAUGGGGACUCUAGUUAGACUGCCGGUGACAAACCGGAGGAAGGUGGGGAUGACGUCAAAUCAUCAUGCCCCUUAUGACCUGGGCUACACACGUGCUACAAUGGAUGGUACAACGAGCAGCGAACUCGCGAGGGUAAGCGAAUCUCUAAAAGCCAUUCCCAGUUCGGAUUGUAGGCUGCAACUCGCCUACAUGAAGUCGGAAUCGCUAGUAAUCGCGGAUCAGCACGCCG